UCAGUCGGCCAAGAAUUCCAACAAGUUGACGCCGAAGUGGGAAGGCCCUUAUCGGGUGAGACAGGUCACGAGGCCCGGCGCUGUCCGCCUCGAGACCGAAGAAGGCUUACCAGUGAGCAACUCCUGGAACAUAGAGCAUCUUCGCAAGUUUCACCCAUAAGGCACGGUUGCCGUGAUCCGCUCCGGCAACCACCGUUUUGUACAGGCCUUGCCGCUGUUGCAUGUAACCCCUUGUACAAAGCCAGGCGCAGACCCUGGCAGCAGAUAAAGAAACCCUGGUAGGCGACCUUGUUCUUCGGCGUGUUCAGUCCGCCAAGAAUUCCAACAAGUUGACGCCGAAGCAGGAAGGCCCUUAUCGGGUGAGACAAGUCACGAGGCCCGGCGCUGUCCACCUCGAGACCGAAGAAGGCUUACCAGUGAGCAACUCCUGGAACAUAGAGCAUCUUCGCAAGUUUCACCCAUAAGGCGCGGUUGCCGUGAUCCGCUCCGGCAACCACCGUUUUGUACA
rnacentral:lncRNA from 1 species